rnacentral:rRNA from 1 species
UACAGAGGGGGCAAGCGUUGUUCGGAAUUACUGGGCGUAAAGGGCGCGUAGGCGGCCGCCUAAGUCAGACGUGAAAUCCCUCGGCUCAACCGGGGAACUGCGUCUGAUACUGGGUGGCUUGAAUCCGGGAGAGGGAUGCGGAAUUCCAGGUGUAGCGGUGAAAUGCGUAGAUAUCUGGAGGAAUACCGGUGGCGAAGGCGGCAUCCUGGACCGGCAUUGACGCUGAGGAGCGAAAGCCAGGGGAGCAAACAGG